GACGAAGGAUGCAAGCGUUAUCCGGAUUCAUUGGGUUUAAAGGGAGCGUAGGUGGUCUUAUAAGUCAGUGGUGAAAAUCUCUGGGCUUAACCCAGAAAUUGCCAUUGAUACUGUAGGAUUGAGUAUAGUUGCCGUUGGCGGAAUAUGACAUGUAGUGGUGAAAUACAUAGAGAUGUCAUAGAACACCGAUUGCGAAGGCAGCUAACGAAACUAUAACUGACACUGAGGCUCGAAAGUGCGGGGAUCAAACAGG
rnacentral:rRNA from 1 species